rnacentral:rRNA from 1 species
UACGAAGGGGGCUAGCGUUGCUCGGAAUCACUGGGCGUAAAGCGCACGUAGGCGGAUUGUUAAGUCAGGGGUGAAAUCCUGGAGCUCAACUCCAGAACUGCCUUUGAUACUGGCGAUCUCGAGUCCGGGAGAGGUGAGUGGAACUGCGAGUGUAGAGGUGAAAAUUCGUAGAUAUUCGCAAGAACACCAGUGGCGAAGGCGGCUCACUGGCCCGGUACUGACGCUGAGGUGCGAAAGCGUGGGGAGCA